rnacentral:rRNA from 1 species
AACGAACGCUGGCGGCAGGCUUAACACAUGCAAGUCGAGCGGGGACUUCGGUCCUAGCGGCGGACGGGUGAGUAACGCGUGGGAACGUGCCUUUUGCUUCGGAAUAGCCCUGGGAAACUGGGAGUAAUGCCGGAUGAUCCCUUUGGGGGAAAGAUUUAUCGGCAAGAGAUCGGCCCGCGUUGGAUUAGGUAGUUGGUGGGGUAAUGGCCUACCAAGCCGACGAUCCAUAGCUGGUUUGAGAGGAUGAUCAGCCACACUGGGACUGAGACACGGCCCAGACUCCUACGGGAGGCAGCAGUGGGGAAUCUUAGACAAUGGGCGCAAGCCUGAUCUAGCCAUGCCGCGUGAGUGAUGAAGGCCUUAGGGUUGUAAAGCUCUUCCAGUGGGGAAGAUAAUGACGGUACCCACAGAAGAAGCCCCGGCUAACUCCGUGCCAGCCGCCGCAGUAA